AGCGAACGCUGGCGGCAGGCCUAACACAUGCAAGUCGAACGGGCUCUUCGGAGCUAGUGGCGGACGGGUGAGUAACACGUGGGAACGUGCCUUUAGGUUCGGAAUAAGCCCGGGAAACUGGGUCUAAUACCGAAUGUGCCCUUCGGGGGAAAGAUUUAUCGCCUUUAGAGCGGCCCGCGUCUGAUUAGCUAGUUGGUGAGGUAAUGGCUCACCAAGGCGACGAUCAGUAGCUGGUCUGAGAGGAUGACCAGCCACAUUGGGACUGAGACACGGCCCAAACUCCUACGGGAGGCAGCAGUGGGGAAUCUUGCGCAAUGGGCGAAAGCCUGACGCAGUCAUGCCGCGUGGAUGAUGAAGGUCUUAGGAUUGUAAAAUCCUUUCACCGGUGAAGAUAAUGACUGUAGCCGGAGAAGAAGCCCCGGCUAACUUCGUGCCAGCAGCCGCAGUAACAC
rnacentral:rRNA from 1 species